rnacentral:ribozyme from 1 species
UGCCCAGCAACUCCUAUCCCUACCUCCGCGUGACACCGGGCGGACUGCCAGCAACCUUAGGAAAAAUCGGGUAAAGCUUUGAUCGUAGGCUGACAGAAAAGG